UACAGAGGGUGCAAGCGUUGUCCGGAAUCACUGGGCGUAAAGGGCGCGUAGGUGGCCUGAUAAGUAGGGGGUGAAAUCCUGGGGCUUAACCUCAGGGCUGCCUUCUAGACUGUCCGGCUUGAGCGCAGUAGAGGCAGGUGGAAUUCCCGGUGUAGUGGUGAAAUGCGUAGAUAUCGGGAGGAACACCAGUGGCGAAGGCGACUACCUGGCCUGUUCUUGACGCUGAGGCGCGAAAGCUAGGGGAGCAAACGGG
rnacentral:rRNA from 1 species